rnacentral:lncRNA from 1 species
UUACCAUAAUUCAGCUUCUAUACAUUGCCUACAAAGUUUACGAAUUUGGCAUUGGCUCUACACAAGUCUACAGAGUGGCUACUGUUUCCACAAAUCUCACACCAAGAUGGGGUCGGUUGAAUUACAUUCAUCUGGAUUAGGACUGCUUCACACCCAACUUGCUAAAUUAUGUCAUCAUCUAAUUUUGCAAAGCAGAUAAUUGGGUAGCUAAGGCUGACACUAUCAACUUGUAUCAUCCCU